rnacentral:rRNA from 1 species
UGGGGAAUCUUGGACAAUGGGCGAAAGCCUGAUCCAGCCAUGCCGCGUGCGGGAAGAAGGCCUGCGGGUUGUAAACCGCUUUCGUGGGGGAAGAAGGGCUCUUAGGCGAAUACCCUAGGAGUUUGACGUUACCCCAAGAAGAAGCACCGGCUAACUCCGUGCCAGCAGCCGCGGUAAUACGGAGGGUGCGAGCGUUAAUCGG